GACGAACGCUGGCGGCGUGCCUAAUACAUGCAAGUAGAACGCACAGUUUAUACCGUAGCUUGCUACACCAUAGACUGUGAGUUGCGAACGGGUGAGUAACGCGUAGGUAACCUGCCUGGUAGCGGGGGAUAACUAUUGGAAACGAUAGCUAAUACCGCAUAAUAUUAAUUAUUGCAUGAUAAUUAAUUGAAAGGUGCAAUUGCACCACUACCAGAUGGACCUGCGUUGUAUUAGCUAGUAGGUGAGGUAACGGCUCACCUAGGCGACGAUACAUAGCCGACCUGAGAGGGUGAUCGGCCACACUGGGACUGAGACACGGCCCAGACUCCUACGGGAGGCAGCAGUAGGGAAUCUUCGGCAAUGGACGAAAGUCUGACCGAGCAACGCCGCGUGAGUGAAGAAGGUUUUCGGAUCGUAAAGCUCUGUUGUAAGAGAAGAACGGGUGUGAGAGUGGAAAGUUCGCACUGUGACGGUAGCUUACCAGAAAGGGACGGCUAACUACGUG
rnacentral:rRNA from 1 species